rnacentral:rRNA from 1 species
GUAAAUUCCUAUAACAUAGUGUUAAUGCACUCAAUCCGAUUAGAACUUCGCAGUUAAGCGCGCUCGAGCUAAAGUAGUACUGGGAUGAGAGACCUCUCGGAAAGUCUUCUCUUUUUUUUUU